AACGAACGCUGGCGGCAUGCCUAACACAUGCAAGUCGAACGAGACCUUCGGGUCUAGUGGCGCACGGGUGCGUAACGCGUGGGAACCUGCCCUUAGGUUCGGAAUAACUCCCCGAAAGGGGUGCUAAUCCCGGAUAAUGUCUUCGGACCAAAGUUUUAUCGCCUUUGGAUGGGCCCGCGUUGGAUUAGCUAGUUGGUAGGGUAAAAGCCUACCAAGGCGACGAUCCAUAGCUGGUCUGAGAGGAUGAUCAGCCACACUGGGACUGAGACACGGCCCAGACUCCUACGGGAGGCAGCAGUGGGGAAUAUUGGACAAUGGGCGAAAGCCUGAUCCAGCAAUGCCGCGUGAGUGAUGAAGGCCUUAGGGUUGUAAAGCUCUUUUACCCGGGAUGAUAAUGACAGUACCGGGAGAAUAAGCUCCGGCUAACUCCGU
rnacentral:rRNA from 1 species